rnacentral:rRNA from 1 species
AGGACGAACGCUGGCGGCGUGCUUAACACAUGCAAGUCGAGCGGAAAGGCCCUUCGGGGUACUCGAGCGGCGAACGGGUGAGUAACACGUGAGCAACCUGCCCUUGGCUCUGGGAUAGCCUCCGGAAACGGGGAUUAAUACCGGACAUUCACUGAUCCCUGCAUGGGGGAUGGUGGAAAGUUUUUCGGCCAGGGAGGGGCUCGCGGCCUAUCAGCUUGUUGGCGGGGUAACGCCCACCAAGGCGACGACGGGUA